CAAGGUGCCAUCGUUCUCUCA
rnacentral:siRNA from 1 species